UCACCUCUCUGCCUUUUACCACUCAGUUCUUUCAACAAUUGCUUCUAGGAACAAUCAAUGAACUCAAUCAAUCAAUCAAAUCGUGUAGAAUUCCCCAAAUCGGAUGUGACUCAAUAAUUGUAACAAAGGACUCAAAGAAAACUUUUAAAGCUUGACUUGAAUUGAAGGAAUGGAAUGAUUUAAUGUGUCCAAGUAAUUUAG
rnacentral:lncRNA from 1 species